rnacentral:rRNA from 1 species
UAAUACAUGCAAGUUGAGCGCUGAAGGAAGGUACUGUACCGACUGGAUGAGCAGCGAACGGGUGAGUAACGCGUGGGGAAUCUGCCUUGAGCGGGGGACAACAUUUGGAAACGAAUGCUAAUACCGCAUAAAAGCGAAAGACAUAAGUUUUCUGUUUAAAAGAUGCAAUUGCAUCACUCAAAGAUGAUCCCGCGUUGGAUUAGCUAGUUGGUAGGGUAACGGCCUACCAAGGCGAUGAUCCAUAGCCGGCCUGAGAGGGUGAACGGCCACAUUGGGACUGAGACACGGCCCAAACUCCUACGGGAGGCAGCAGUAGGGAAUCUUCGGCAAUGGGGGCAACCCUGACCGAGCAACGCCGCGUGAGUUGAAGAAGGUUUUCGGAUCGUAAAGCUCUGUUGAUAGUAAAGAACGUGUGUGAGAGUGGAAAGUUCACGCAGUGACGGUAACUAUCCAGAAAGGGACGGCUAACUACGUGCCAGCCGCCGC